UGCGUAGGCGGCCCGGGAAGUUGGGUGUGAAAUCCCUCGGCUUAACCGAGGAAUUGCGCUCAAAACUGCCGGGCUUGAGGGAGACAGAGGUGAGCGGAACUUAGGGUGGAGCGGUGAAAUGCGUUGAUAUCCUAAGGAACACCGGGGGCGAAAGCGGCUCACUGGGUCUCUUCUGACGCUGAGGCACGAAAGCUAGGGGAGCGAACGGGAUUAGAUACCCCGGUAGUCCUAGCCCUAAACGAUGAGCACUAGAUCGGAGAACAUCCCAUAGUUUUCUGGUCGUAGCAAAAGCGUUAAGUGCUCCGCCUGGGGAGUAUGGUCGCAAGGCUGAA
rnacentral:rRNA from 1 species